rnacentral:rRNA from 1 species
GACGAACGCUGGCGGCGUGCCUAACACACGCAAGUCGAGCGAUGAAACCCUUCGGGGUGGAUUAGCGGCGGACGGGUGAGUAACACGUGGGUAACCUGCCUCAAAGAGGGGGAUAGCCUCCCGAAAGGGAGAUUAAUACCGCAUAACAUUAGUUUUUCGCAUGAAGAACUAAUUAAAGGAGUAAUCCGCUUUGAUAUGGACCCGCGGCGUAUUAGCUAGUUGGUGAGGUAAAGGCUCACCAAGGCGACGAUGCGUAGCCGACCUGAGGGGGUGAUCGGCCACAUUGGAACUGGGACACGGUCCAGACUCCUACGGGAGGCAGCAGUGGGGAAUAUUGCACAAUGGGCGAAAGCCUGAUGCAGCAACGCCGCGUGAGUGAUGAAGGCCUUCGGGUUGUAAAGCUCUGUCUUUUGGGACGAUAAUGACGGUACCAAAGGAGGAAGCCACGGCUAACUACGUGCCAGCCGCCGCGGUAA